rnacentral:tRNA from 1 species
GCCGAAGUGGUGGAACUGGCAGACACGCAGGAUUUAGGUUCCUGUGCGCAUGCGCGUGAGGGUUCGACUCCCUUCUUCGGCA